UACGUAUGGAGCAAGCGUUAUCCGGAUUUACUGGGUGUAAAGGGAGUGUAGGUGGCCAUGCAAGUCAGAAGUGAAAAUCCGGGGCUCAACCUCGGAACUGCUUUUGAAACUGUAAGGCUGGAGUGCAGGAGGGGUGAGUGGAAUUCCUAGUGUAGCGGUGAAAUGCGUAGAUAUUAGGAGGAACACCAGUGGCGAAGGCGGCUCACUGGACUGUAACUGACACUGAGGCUCGAAAGCGUGGGGAGCAAACAGG
rnacentral:rRNA from 1 species